rnacentral:lncRNA from 1 species
ACUGGACUCAGCACUGGCACAGAGGCAGCACAGCUAUGUGGGAAGAACACAGGCUGGUCUGCAGGUGUCUAGAUUUGGAUCCUAGCUCUGUUACUUACUACUUUGUGACUUUGAGCAAAUUCACGUCUCUGAAAGGUCAGUUUUCCUUCUGUAAAAUAUCCCAACUUCUGUUGUAGAAUUAUUAUUAUAAAUAAAUAGUAACAUAUAUAUAAUAGUAACAUAUAUAAAUAGUAACAUAUAUGUAUAUAUAUGUGUGUGUAUAUAUAUGUGUAUCUAUAUAUGUGUGUGUGUAUAUAUAUAUAUAUAUAUGUAUAUAAUGUCUACCUGUAUUGUUGCUAGGGGCUGCCCUGGACUAUGUUUAUUACUUUCUGUUGUACCUAAGAUGGCAUUUUUUGUCCUCAAAAAAAAAAAAAAAAAUAGUACUCUUUAGGGAGAGACCGGAAAAAAAUGGUGAGUACUGUCUUUGUUCCAGGAUUUUACAGGGAAAGAUGAGGCAGCUUUAUAUUAUAUUGUAGUCAGUUUAAAAUUUUUCUAUUGUUUGUUUCAAUGAUGAAAAAAUCCAAAGAAAAAACCUAGAAAGAAAAAUCAAUAGCUUUGUACAAAUAUAGUAUGACAAUUGAGAACAACUGGUUUUGCUGUUAAAUGUGUCUUAAACUAGGAAACUCAGGGUUUUGUCAAAUGGUAUCAGAAUGAGAAACAGACUUAAUUUUCUUUUUGGGUCCAAUGGCUACAUAUGUUCUUCAACAGUUGGAAAGCCACUGUAUCCAGGUGAAGUAAUUUUGCUCAGGAAUUAAUUGAAGAUCACGGAGGUACUGUGAAACCAAGAUAUAGAAGAGUCAGUUUCAAAUGGUCUUUUUUAGUGAACAACAACAGCAAAAUCUGACAACUACCAAAAAAAUUGAGAUGGCUGUAGCCUGUGGUAGGGAGAGCAAACAGGAUGGAUGAGCAAAACCACAGUAGUUUGAGUUUUAUGUGAAGGUGAUGAUAAAUAAGGAAUAUUAAUCUCUAUUUUCAGAGAAGCCCUCUCAUCUCAUGUUUGUUCAUGGGUACAUUGUUGUUCCCAAAGACUGCCCGUUAUUACUUUGUUAUUACAAUCAUGUAGUGUAUACAGUGGUAGUACUACUAUGUGCACUGUGUUUUUGUGCAUAAUAGGCUUUUAAUUUGUUCUUUCAAUAAAUAUUCAUUGGAUACCUGUUAUGAGUUAGGGGCUGACAGUACAAUGGCAAAGAGGCAGACAAAAAUCCCUGCCCUCAUGAGGCUUAGAUUAGAGUAGAAGAAAGCAGACAAUAAACAAAUUAAGAAAAGAUUUAGUAUGCUGGAAGAUAAUAAAUGGCAUGGAGGAAAAUAAAGCAGGACAAAGGGAUAAUGUGUGUGUGUGUUUGGGGGGAUGGCUCAUUCAUUGAGGAGGUCAUAUUAGAGCAAACAUCUGAAGGAGGUCUGUGAGUUAGUUAUAGUGAGUGUCUGGAAAAGGUGGAGGCUUCGAUAUAGAGAGACCAGCAAGUGUACAGGCUUUGCAUGGGCUUUUGAGUGGUCUCUCGUGUUUGAAUAAUAGCAAGGAGGCUAGUGUUCCUGGAGCAGAGUGAGUGAGGGGAGAGGAAGAGAUGUCAGAGAUCACAGGGGGUCAGAUCAUAAAGACCUUCUAAGCCUCUUCUAAGUUCGUUACUUGGAGCAAAAUAGGAAGCCAACACAGGGCUUUGAGAGAAGACUGAUAUGAUUUGACCUAUUUUUAAAGGUUCAGUGUAGCUUCUGUACUGAGAGUAAAAUAUAAGGGGGCUAGAGAGGAAACACAAAGACUAAUAAUCCAUUAAACAGAGCUAAGUUAGUGGGUUGCUCACUUGCUUCCUUAUAAAUGUUGUGCCAGAGAGAAGAUUAGUGGCAAAUACCCAUUAAACCUCUGUGAGAUUGGAAGGGUUGGCUUCCUCGAGGGGAACGUGAGUUUCUUUUGGCAGAUAAGGAAAUACUCCUCGGUGAUACAGAGGCGUCCUUUCUCUUAUUAGUGGUGACUUGGUGACAGGAAAGUGAAGUUGCAGGCUCUGGCCCACCUGAAUGUUUCAGAUCUAUUUCUGGAAAACAGGUAUUAGGAGGUAUGCAAGGAGCCUCUUUCUAUUAUUUCAACUUAAAAGUUCCCUAAUUGGAUUGAGUUCAAGUUCUGUGUCAUGGUUCUGUUUUGCUGGGAGAAGCUAAUAAAGAAGGAAGCUGCGGAUUCUUCGUUGUAGGACAAAUGGAGUGCAGCAAUUAGGCAGUACUGUCCCUCCACUGGACAAAAGCCUUAAGCAGCUCAGGCAAACACCAAACAAAAACCUGUCACAUGCACACAGAUGUAGAUGCCUGGUGAAAUCUUAGAAAAUGUAUUCACAUUUAUUCUCUGGCAGUAAUAUUCUUUUCACAAAGCAUUCCACACUAUGAUAGCUGUAUCAUUAGUCUGAUAAUCUCAAGUUAAUUCUCUGUUGCUUUUUAUAUGGUGUGCUCAGUGUAUUGGUUUAGAGAAAAAGGCUGAAGAGCUUAAAGAGAUUGGUCUAAGAAAUUGCAGGUUAGCUGGGAAAGGAGAAUAGACUACCGUUAGAAAAACGUAUAGUUAAAUCCAAAGGGAGCGAUUGUCUUUGGAUAAAUGGAUUUCUACACGUGUUCAGUAGAUGGUGAGUAAUUCCCACGUGUUCCACCCUGUGCUAGAUACAUGGGAAUUCAACAGGGUGUCUGCCCCAGAGAUGCUAAUAUCUCUUAGGAGAGAUGAUUACAUUGACACAUGACACCAUAUGAACAAUUUUCUGUCCAACCUAUGGGUGGUAUGGGUGGGGGGAUUCUUAAUGAGUCUUUCCCCUAACAAUUAGCCAUAUAUCUUUACAGUGGAGACCAGAUAUAAAGAAACAGUAAACACAGCAAUUCAAAAUUCAAUACUAGCCAUUCCUUUAUGUCUAAUAUCAGAUGACCCCUUCAGAGCAUUUUGUCUUAUAAUAUUCUGCACCUAUAGUUUUGUUUUCUACUUCUCAAUCAAGUAGCUAAUAAAUAUCAGGGUACCAUCUAGCUGUCUUAAAAUGCUAUAGCUUCUUUCUUAAUCAUUCCACAUUAUUGAAUAUUGGUUGGUAUAUAACUUAGCAUAGAACUGGUGGUUUUGUUAAGCACAAAAUUUCAGUGGCUUAAAGAAUGCAAUGAAAGUCUAUUUCUUGCUCAUUUAAAGGUCUGGUGCAAAUGUUCGUGGUUUCCAGGUAACUUUCUUCCAUGUGGUGAUUCAGGAACCUAGGAUGUUUCCACUUGAGGCUCUACUGCCCCCUCAGGUCUUGGAGUCUUCUGUGUUCAGUCAGCGGACGGAAAAAGAGAGUAGAGAAUAGAUAGUUCCUACCUGAGCAGUCACUUCCUCUUCUAUGGGAAGAAAGCACUUAGCUGAUCUUUGUAUGUAUGAUUUCUAUUUUUUGUAAGUUGCCAAUGGCAGUACUUUUAAAUAGCUUUGCACAAAUGGAUUUUUUUUCUAUUUUAGAUUAAUGUAUUUGAGAUGUAUUUCUAGAAGUAAGUGUAUUAGAUAGGUUUUAAUUAUAAAAUUAUAUUGAAUUAUAUUUUAUUUAAUACAUCAAUUAAAAUCAUAAUUUAUAUACCUGUAAAGUUAUUGGAUAUGAACCAUCUCACUUCAUUAUUGUUCAGGCUCAGCUGAAGAAUAUCUUUGCUAGCCUAUAUCCAGGAUAAUGAAUACCAUGAGAAAACAGCCAUAUUAUAUUGUCAUAUUUAACUGAAGAAAACGCUAUUGCUACUAUACUUUAUUCAACUCAAAACAUGAGUUACCUAAUUUAACAAAAGAGAUACACAUACUGAUAGACUAAAAUGAUUUUACCAGUAUAUGUGAUUUGAAAAGAAAAUUAGAACAUAUGUCUAAUAGUCUUUACAUUCCUUUUGUUUAUUUAUAGACAGAAGAAGAAAGAUAUGAUUUCAGGCUUCUUAAUUUAGACUGAAUCUGCCCCAAAGCAGGAAACAUUCUUCCUACACACAUUAAAAGUUACUAUUUGGAGGCCGGGCGCGGUGGCUCACGCCUAUAAUCUCAGCACUUUGGGAAGCCAAGGCAGGCGGAUCACGAGGUCAGGAGAUCGAGACCAUCCUGGCUAACACGGUGAAACCCCGUCUCUGCUAAAAAUACAAAAAUAAAUUAGCCGGGCGUGGUGGCAGGCGCCUGUAGUCCCAGCUACUCGGGGGGCUGAGGCAGGAGAAUGGCGUGAACCUGGGAGGCGGAGCUUGCAGUGAGUCGAGACCGCGCCACAGCACUACAGCCUGGGCGACAGAGCAAGACUCCAUCUCAAAAAAAAAAAAAAAAAAAAAAGAGUUACUAUUUGGAAAAGGUAAUCCUUUUCAUAACUUGAGAUGAAACCAGAUAUGUGAAUGAAGUUGAGCAGAUCACCAAUAUGAGGGAUUUUCAUUUUGUUUUGUUUUGGUAUUUCUGGCAUAAUUAAAACAAGACUAAAGGCUGAGACUGGGAUCUAUUUUGUGUUAACUAAGAUAAUAAAAAAAAACAUUGCUUUAUAGUAAAAAUUAAGAAGUUUGCAUAAGAAACGAUGGGGUUGGAAAAAUUUCUACCAGAAUUAUUUUGGGGAAAAACACCCCAAACAUCUCAAAUAUUUGUAGAACUCAUUCCAAUUUAUAAAGCUCUCUCUACUUUGACAAGCUAUAUCAUUAAAUAACUACAGGUGGAAAGCAUAUGGAAAAAUGUUCUCAUUUGUUAGUUAUAAAAUGUUUUCAUUGAAUUAGCAACCCUCCACAAAUUUGGUAGGGCCCAGAGAAUUCAGAGACACUCUUGAAUUACUGGGGGGUGUUGUAGAGUAGUACUGACUGAAGAUGUUCCCAGCACAUAGCUAAGUGCCUGACAUGCACUGUGCUACCUGUGAACAAUGGAUCUCAUCCUCACAGUAUCUGCAGGGCCCUUGAGGGCUGCCACAUGGCAAUCAACAAUCCAUCAUGGCUGCUUCCUGCAUGACUUGAUGUGGCGUCUGAUGAACAUGAGCCUUGACAAACUUCUCUCACUCUGUUCAGAUUGCUGCCCAUCUGCCAAGACCUCCGGGUCUGGGACUGCACUCCACUUAGGUCUCUGUUUCUGGCGUUCCUCACAUUUAUGUAUUUAUUUUUCCCGUCAUUAAUAUUUCUUUUUAAAUAAAGUAGACUAUUUUACUGCUUCUUGAAUAGUAUAGUAUUCUUCUUUUAAGUUAUGGCAUCUUUUUGUAAAUACUAUGUGGUUCUGUUUUGCUUUGUACACUCAUUCUUGAUUAAAAUGAUAUUUUUUUCAAGAUCUAACAUUUGCUAAUACCCAGGUUGAAUGAUUUUUCCUAGUUCUCACUACUUACUUGUUCUCUUUUAAAGUCAUCUUUAAGAUAAUUUUUCAAAGUUGAAAAAAAUUAAUACAUACGCUAAUAAGUAAUUAAAUUAGAACAAGAAGAUCUGUCUGCUUGAUGCCCACAUCCACCAUUUACUAGCUGCAUAAAUCUGAGCAAAUUACUUAACUUUUUUAACAAUCUGGGAAAUAGGGAUGAAAAUAUUCAUUUCAUAGUGGGUUGUGAAGAUCAAUGUUAAAGUCAUAUAAGAACGUGCUUUACAAAUGGUAAAUUGCUAUAUAUAGAUGUUAAUUAUUAUUGUCAAUAAUGGAAGAUAUAUUAGCACUUUUUCCUACCAUAUUUUGGGAUGGAGAGUGGGGAGAUAGUUUCAGCUACUUAAUGUCUAUUUGUUUAUUUAUUUAUUUAAACUCAAGUCAGAAUUUUUCUGAGAACUAUGGAAAACUUGAAUAUACAUGAAGGAGAAACCUUUGAACCUUGUGGUGAAAAAGUGAGAGGAGGCAGUGGCAGAGAAAUAAAUGGAGAAGAUCUUUUAUUAAGAAAUUGGCUUCUCAAGCCACACUUACUUACAGUUCUUUGUAUAUCUUUCCAGAACUAUUCCAUUCACUGUGAACUAUGUGUGAAUCGCUUUUGAAAGAGUCAGACACAAAUGCAAGCAUACCAUAUGCUCUACUGCACUUUAUGCACUGGACAAUAUCUAUUUGAAAUCACUUUCCAUUCAUAGGAAUCUGCUUCAUUCCUUUUUAAAAUUAUUAUUUAAAUACAUUCAAUUGUGUAUAUUUAAGGUAUACAACAUGAUGUUAUAAGUUACAUACAGGCAGUAAAAUGAUAACUAUAGAGAAACAAAUUAACAUAUCCAUCAUCUCACAUAGUUAUCCAUUUUUGUGGUAAGGGCAGCUAAAAUCUAAUCAAUUUGCAAAAAUCCCAGAUACAAUUUUAUUAAUUGUAGUUCUCCUUUUGUUUAUUAGAUCUCUAGAUUUGCUCAUCUUACAUAUCUGCUGCUUUGUAUCUUCUGACCUACGUCUUUCCAUUUCCUCUCCAACCCUUCACCCCUGGUAACCACUGUUUAAUUCUCUAUUUCUGUAUAUUUAGCUUUUUAAAGAUAUAUUCCACAUAUGAGUGAAAUCAUGCAAUAUUUUUCUUUUAAUAGUUUCAUGACAUUCUUUUAUGUGGAUAUAAAUAUAGUUUAUAAAAAACAGCCUACUUGAUAUAUUAUUAAACAUUUUUUAUAUUAUUAGCACUGCUGC